rnacentral:rRNA from 1 species
UACGAAGGGUGCAAGCGUUACUCGGAAUUACUGGGCGUAAAGCGUGCGUAGGUGGUUUGUUAAGUCUGCUGUGAAAGCCCCGGGCUCAACCUGGGAAUUGCAUUUGAGACUGCGUAGCUAGGGUGCGGAAGAGGGAAGCGGAAUUUCCGGUGUAGCGGUGAAAUGCGUAGAUAUCGGAAGGAACACCAGUGGCGAAAGCGGCUUCCUGGUCCAGCACCGACGUUCAGGCACGAAAGCGUGGGGAGCAAACAGG